rnacentral:rRNA from 1 species
UUCAGUAACUUCUGACACAGCCAGCAUCCGUAUCAUCGUAUCUACCCACUGAAGAUAAGCAGCGUUCAGCCUGAUCAGUACCUGUAUGUGAGACCUCCUGGGAAGCCAUGGUUGCUGCUGAAA